rnacentral:rRNA from 1 species
UGGGGAAUUUUGGACAAUGGGCGCAAGCCUGAUCCAGCAAUGCCGCGUGCAGGAUGAAGGCCUUCGGGUUGUAAACUGCUUUUGUACGGAACGAAACGGCUCUGUCUAAUACAUGGGGCUAAUGACGGUACCGUAAGAAUAAGCACCGGCUAACUACGUGCCAGCAGCCGCGGUAAUACGUAGGGUGCAAGCGUUAAUCGGAAUUACUGGGCGUAAAGCGUGCGCAGGCGGUUAUAUAAGACAGAUGUGAAAUCCCCGAGCUCAACCUGGGAACUGCAUUUGUGACUGUAUAGAUAGGGUACGGCAGAGAGGGAUGGAAUUCCGCGUGUAGCAGUGAAAUGCGUAGAUAUGCGGAGGAACACCGAUGGCGAAGGCAGCUUACUAUUGUUUUAUUGACGCUGAGGCACGAAAGCGUGGGGAUCAAACA